UGGGGAAUUUUGCGCAAUGGGCGAAAGCCUGACGCAGCAACGCCGCGUGAGUGAUGAAGGCCUUCGGGUCGUAAAGCUCUGUCAGUGGGAAAGAAGGGUAUUGUGGCUAAUAUCCGAGAAUAAUGACGUCCCCAAGA
rnacentral:rRNA from 1 species